rnacentral:rRNA from 1 species
UACAGAGGGUGCGAGCGUUAAUCGGAAUUACUGGGCGUAAAGCGCGCGUAGGCGGCUUUGCAAGUCGGGUGUGAAAUCCCCAGGCUUAACCUGGGAACUGCGUCUGAUACUGGAAGGCUUGAGGAUGGGAGAGGGAUGUAGAAUUCCAGGUGUAGCGGUGAAAUGCGUAGAUAUCUGGAGGAAUGACCGGUGGCGAAGGCGGCAGUCCUGGACCAUUACGUGACGCUGAGGCGCGAAAGCUAGGGGA